rnacentral:lncRNA from 1 species
UGCCAAGCAGCAAAUAAUGAAUUUGUUUCUACUAGUUACUCCUCUAGGCAAAUUAAAAUCUAAAUUGGAGUCCUGAUCAGGGACUGCUUCAGUGCCAAUCAGAUGGGUAGGGGAGAUCUGAUGUUCCUCAUCAGCAUAAUUUCUAGCUUGCUCCCCAACUUGUCUGUGCUCCUCAGGCAGGAGGAUUUUUAGACAAGAUCAUAUGGACAUCAUGGAAGGUCAAAUCAUAUGAUUGAGUCAGAUAUUGAAAUGCUUUGAUAUAUGUGGUGGGACUUGAAAUAUAGGACCCAAGCCAUCUUUCUAUCUGUGAAAGAUCUAACAUGCAGAAAGGCACAUGAACCUGGAUUACACCAUCUACCCCAGCCACCUCACAUAGAGUACACAGAGAUGCAGAUUGGGCAGCGGCAGUCUAUGAACAUGUGGCAGUAGGAGAGAACGGAGGAGGGUUCGAGGGAACAGUUGCUAUGGAGGCUCCACAAGAAAGAGAAUUGUGGUGUGGCAGGGGCUCAUCUGCUGGGUCAAAGGAGAAGAAGACCUGGGUAGAAUCUUCUGUCCCUUUGGAAGCAGUCAUAGGGGAGGUGAGAGCUAAGAGGACUUGUGCAGGAGAGCAAGAGUUGCAGAGAGAGGGCUUAGAAUGAAUAGAGGAGAAGGCCUGAACAUAUGACAUCUCUUUCCAUAUUCCUGGAUGCUCACAAUAGUUGAAAAUAUCCCUGAUAAUAUUGGGAUGAAGAGUGCCAUUAAGCAGCCAUUUAGAGUCAUUAUCCAAAGGAUAUUGAGGCCAGAUCUGAUUGCACAAGCAGAUAAGGUUUGGG